rnacentral:rRNA from 1 species
CGCCUUCGGGAGGCAGCAGGGGGGAAUUUUGGACAAUGGGGGCAACCCUGAUCCAGCCAUUCCGCGUGAGUGAAGAAGCCCUUCGGGUUGUAAAGCUCUUUUGUCGGGGAGGAAACGGUUUUGUUUAAUACCCUAGACUACUGACGGUACCCGAAGAAUAAGCACCGGCUAACUACGUGCCAGCAGCCGCGGUUAUACGUAGGGCGCAAGCGUUAAUCGGAAUUACUGGGCGUAAAGCGUGCGCAGGCGGUUUUGUAAUCCAGAUGUGAAAUCCCCGGGCUCAACCUGGGAAUGGCAUUUGGGACUGCAAGGCUAGAGUAUGGCAGAGGAGACUGGAAUUCCUGGUGUAGCAGUGAAAUGCGUAGAUAUCUGGAGGGACACCGGUGGCGAAGGACGGUCUCUGGGCUGAUACUGACGCUCAUGCACGAAAGCGUGGGGAGCAAACAGGA